rnacentral:tRNA from 1 species
GGGCCGUUAGCUCAGUUGGUAGAGCAACUGACUCUUAAUCAGUGGGUCACAGGUUCGAGUCCUGUACGGCCUACCA